GGCCCUGUGGCCUAAUGGAUAAGGCGUCGGCCUCCUAAACCGAAGACUCAAGAUUCGAGUCCUUGCUGGGUCG
rfam:Angiostrongylus costaricensis strain Costa Rica genome assembly, scaffold: ACOC_contig0002979